AGCCGCGGCGGGUCCUUGGGUGCUGGGUCUGGGUCGGUGGCCGCCCCCGCUUCGGCCUUGUGAGCUCCGCGUGCACACACCCUGGCUUUCACAAGACCUGGAAGAGCGGGCCAGGCCUGCGCCGCGGACUCGGGUGAACUCUGGGAUCCUCAACACCCACAGGAAGCCAGUUGCAAGAGAAGCUCUGCCUACCUUUCCAAACUUCCCACUACCGCAGGAAAUAAGUGGAAACUCCAGUCACUUCCUCCCUGGAACGUACUCUUCUUUCUGCCUUAGAUACCAGAUACUUCCUACCCUAAUACCCCUAUUUCCAACUCAGUUCAUCCUACAAGAUGAAGCCCUCUUUUCCAGAUUCUGGUAGGAUCCUUUGAGUCAUCUCCAACUUCAACUUCAGUUCAAGUUUCGACAAAAAGUCAUGAAGCCUUCCACCCAUGGAGACAAUGAUGUAUAGAGCCUGUUCUCCAAACAGGUGAAAGGGAAGAAGAAAAUGUUUAAUAUCUCAAGAAGUUAUCUGGCUUAAGUGUAGUGGGUAGCCAUUCCAGCUUUGAUCUGGAAGUUCCAACCCCCAUUGAGACUUCGGUAACUGUCAUGCCUACAAGGCGGGGCCAAGAGAGGACCCUGAAGACCCGAGAUCUGGAUGCGCUGUCUCUCUUAGUUCCUGGACCCUGGACACUAGAGGUAGACUGAGGAGAGUUCUCCAGAGAACACCGCCGGACUGCGCUGUGUCUUUCCCAGAACCCGCAACCUACCUAUCCCUUCAUUUGUAAGUUACGCCACUAAAUAAACCUCCCUUUUAACUA